GCCGCUGUAGCUCAGUUGGUAGAGCGGCGCUUUCGUAAAGCGUAGGUCACCGGUUCAAAUCCGGUCAGCGGCU